rnacentral:rRNA from 1 species
AUUGAACGCUGGCGGCAGGCCUAACACAUGCAAGUCGAACGGUAACAGGAAGCAGCUUGCUGCUUUGCUGACGAGUGGCGGACGGGUGAGUAAUGUCUGGGAAACUGCCCGAUGGAGGGGGAUAACUGCUGGAAACGGUAGCUAAUACCGCAUAACGUCGCAAGACCAAAGAGGGGGACCUUAGGGCCUCUUGCCAUCGGAUGUGCCCAGAUGGGAUUAGCUAGUAGGUGGGGUAACGGCUCACCUAGGCGACGAUCCCUAGCUGGUCUGAGAGGAUGACCAGCCACACUGGAACUGAGACACGGUCCAGACUCCUACGGGAGGCAGCAGUGGGGAAUAUUGCACAAUGGGCGCAAGCCUGAUGCAGCCAUGCCGCGUGUAUGAAGAAGGCCUUCGGGUUGUAAAGUACUUUCAGCGGGGAGGAAGGGAGUAAAGUUAAUACCUUUGCUCAUUGACGUUACCCGCAGAAGAAGCACCGGCUAACUCCGUG